rnacentral:lncRNA from 1 species
AUAUUAGAGAAGACACAGAAACAGAGACAUGGGGAGUAACACCAUGUGAAGACAGAGGUGGAGAUUGGAGGGGUGCAUGUACCAACCAAAGGAAUAUCAAGGGCUGGCAGCAGCACUAGAGCAAGCGAAAGGCAUGAAACAGAUUCUCCCCUAGAGCUGUAAGAGGCAGUGUGGCCCUGGCAACACCUUGCUUUAGGACUUCUAACCUCUAGAAUAAUGAGAUAAUGAGAGUAUAUUUCUGUUGGUUUCGGCCAUGCGGUUUGUGGUAACUGGUUCCAGCAGCCCUAGGAAUCUAAUACACUGCCCAUGGAACAAAUCCUUUCUUGACCACCAAUGGCUGCAUGACUUAUCCUGAGAAGAUCAUGGGGAUUUUGGAUGCCAGGUCAACCCUUACACUCAGCAAGGAAGUGGAAGGGCCUCAGUUUCAAACACUUUGUAAACACAGAGGUUAGGUCAUUUCCUCUCCAAUAAGCCAGAAGCUGAGCUGUCCCUGGCAGCAAACUGUGUGUCAAAUGCCUGGCGGGUUUCAGGUUUUACUAACUCCAGAGUGACGAAACAUCACCACCUCUAAUGCCAGAAAGAAGUCAGCUGUUGUACCUGUGUCACAACUAAAUUUACUGAAGUCAGGGCAGCUGAAGUAAUCUAUAAAACUUAGCAUGUCAAUUUCAA